rnacentral:rRNA from 1 species
UUUCCUACGGGAGGCAGCAGUGGGGAAUAUUGCACAAUGGGCGAAAGCCUGAUGCAGCAACGCCGCGUGAAGGAAGACGGUUUUCGGAUUGUAAACUUCUAUCAAUAGGGAAGAAAGAAAUGACGGUACCUAAAUAAGAAGCCCCGGCUAACUACGUGCCAGCAGCUGCGGUAAUACGUAGGGGGCAAGCGUUAUCCGGAUUUACUGGGUGUAAAGGGAGCGUAGACGGCGUGCCAAGUCUGAUGUGAAAGGCCGGGGCUCAACCCCGGGACUGCAUUGGAAACUGGCAUGCUGGAGUGCCGGAG